UACAGAGGUCUCAAGCGUUGCUCGGAUUCAUUGGGCGUAAAGGGUGCGUAGGCGGCGCGGUAAGUCGGGUGUGAAAUCUCGGAGCUUAACUCCGAAACUGCAUUCGAUACUGCCGUGCUUGAGGACUGGAGAGGAGACUGGAAUUUACGGUGUAGCGGUGAAAUGCGUAGAUAUCGGGAGGAACACCAGUGGCGAAGGCGGGCAUCUGGGCUAACACUGACGCUGAGGCGCGAAAGCUAGGGGAGCAAACAGG
rnacentral:rRNA from 1 species